GAGACCUCAGGUCAGGCGGGGCUACCCGCUGAGUUUAAGCAUAUCAAUAAGCCGGAAAAA
rnacentral:rRNA from 1 species